ensembl:Mt_tRNA
GAGAAAGUAUGCAAGAACUGCUAAUUCAUGCCCCCAUGUCCAACAAACAUGGCUCUCUCA